AACUUAUUCCUAUUAAACAGAAACACAAAGACCGUUUUUAAUAGACGGUAGUCUCAUAUUUCUCAAAAACUUGUUGCUUAUAAAAGGGUUCUCAUAGUUGAUAGUAGUGCAGAACACAAGGUGGCUAAAAAAGUUUGACACCAAAUUAAGAAAUUAUGGAGGAAGGCAACAGCUCAUUCAAAUUUUCAGUCAUUUUUGUAAUUAAAUCAGGUAAUAAAAAGAAAUCAGAUCUUGCAAAACUACAAAAGGAGCAUGAUGAGAAAAUGGAAGCCAUCAAAGAGCUCAAGAAAAAGAGAGAAGAAAUGAAGCUUCAAUUGUCAAAGAAGAAUAUUUCUGAGGAAAAGAAAGAGGCUUUCAGAAAAUUGACCGAUAAAUAUCAAAAAAUGAAAGAUGAAUAUAAUUCCCUUUUGGGUUACCAAUCAAAGGGAAAAGAGUAGUAUCUUACUAAUAAUAUAUUUUCCACCGGUUCGUAAUGUAUCGUUUUAUAUUAUAAUUAUUAUGUUAUAUUGUAUUGUAUUUUCGAAUCAAUAUU